GUGAGUGCAGUCUGGCUGCAACAUCUGUCAGUGCAGUGAUCACCAGGGUGAUUCAGGUGGUCUGACUGGCCAGGCAGGUGUCCCCUUCUCACUGCAGGGUCCUGCGCAGCCCUCUUGAAGCUGCAUGCUCAGUAGUAAAGACUUUCCUGAUGGGGAAGGAUGCUUUUCUUUUUUAAAGGACUAGAAGCAGCUGCUAACCCCUGCUGUAACCUCCAAAAUGUUCUCAUAUAGUUUUAUCACCCUUUUCAUGAAUUUUAGGAGACAAAAAUAUCUGGUUUACAGCCAACCUGUAUUAUUAUUAUUUUAUUAUCAUA
rnacentral:snRNA from 1 species